GAAUGAGGAAGCUCUCUGUGUACUGAUGGGGACAGAAGUUUCAGGACAUUUUGUAGGUGACUGAAAAACAAGACAGAUGCUUCCAGAGUCAAUCACUGAGCAGUGGAUCUACGACAAACCAUCCCUUCUCUUCAGUCACUGAGGAGAUCUGAUGCUGCUGGUCCAAGGACCACAUUUCAAGAACCCCAUCCACACAUGCAUGGUUGUCAACUACGAAUCACGAGAUUUCCACAGUUUUGGCUGCUGCCUUCCCUGUAAGCCCUGCCAUCCACUGAGACCCAGCUCAGCCAUUCUUGGCACCUAGCUGGGUGAGAAGCCUGCCACUGCUGCUUCAUAAGUAAAGCAGCAUCCUUCAGGGCCUGGAGCUCCUGGACACAAAAGCCAUUUCUGGGAGGAAAACGUGGAUAGAGUCAUUCCUGGGCCACCUUUCUGUGGAUCUGUAUGGAAGCUGCCUACUUGUUUGAUGAGAGGCUGCUGGAGUCUUUCCUUUACUAAGGAGUCAUUUAAGCCAGCCCUCCAGCAUCCAAAAAAGAGCCAGGAGAGAGCCACAAAACAGCUGAGGUACAGACUAGGUGGCAGUCCAAGGACCGAGACCUGGCCAGCCAGAGGCACUGGGUGGUCCAGGCUGCCAGACUUUUUUCAGUACACUUAUUCAAUGAAAUCAAAUCGAUGGAUUUAUUGAUUGCUUGGCAA